rnacentral:rRNA from 2 species
GGAGGAAAGUAGGGGAUCGCAAGACCUUGCGCUUUUGGAGCGGCCGAUGUCUGAUUAGCUAGUUGGUGAGGUAAAGGCUUACCAAGGCGUCGAUCAGUAGCUGGUCUGAGAGGACGACCAGCCACACUGGGACUGAGACACGGCCCAGACUCCUACGGGAGGCAGCAGUGGGGAAUUUUGGACAAUGGGGGAAACCCUGAUCCAGCCAUGCCGCGUGAGUGAAGAAGGCCUUCGGGUUGUAAAGCUCUUUCAGCCGGAACGAAACGGUCACGGUUAAUACCCGUGACUACUGACGGUACCGGAAGAAGAAGCACCGGCUAACUACGUGCCAGCAGCCGCGGUAAUACGUAGGGUGCGAGCGUUAAUCGGAAUUACUGGGCGUAAAGCGUGCGCAGGCGGUUUUGUAAGUCAGAUGUGAAAUCCCCGGGCUUAACCUGGGAACUGCGUUUGAAACUACAAAGCUAG